rnacentral:rRNA from 1 species
GACGAACGCUGGCGGCGUGCCUAAUACAUGCAAGUAGGACGCAGUUGCGAACGGGUGAGUAACGCGUAGGUAACUACCUAUUAGAGGGGGAUAACUAUUGGAAACGAUAGCUAAUACCGCAUACUAGUAGAUGGACCUGCGUUGUAUUAGCUAGUAGGUAGGGUAAUGGCCUACCUAGGCAACGAUACAUAGCCGACCUGGUAGGGUGAGGGGCCACACUGUGACUGAGACACGGCGCAGACUUCUCCGGGAGGCAGCAGGAGGGAAUGUGCGGCAAUGGGGGGAACCCUGACUGAGCAACGCCGCGUGAGUGAAGAAGGUUGUCGGAUCGUAAAGCUCUGUUGUUAAGGAAGCGGUAGUUAACCAGAAAGGGACGGCUAACUACGUGCCAGCAGCCUCGGUAAUAC